UGCGUAGGUGGCGAGGUAAGUCGGAUGUGAAAUCUCGGAGCUCAACUCCGAAACGGCAUUGGAAACUACCUUGCUCGAGGAUUGGAGGGGAGACUGGAAUACUUGGUGUAGCAGUGAAAUGCGUAGAUAUCAAGUGGAACACCAGUGGCGAAGGCGAGUCCCUGGACAAUUCCUGACACUGAGGCACGAAAGCUAGGGGAGCAAACAGGAUUAGAUACCCUGGUAGUCCUAGCCGUAAACGGUGCACGUUUGCUGUAAAAGGAAUCGACCCCUUUUGUGGCGUAGCCAACGCGUUAAACGUGCCGCCUGGGAAGUACGGUCGCAAGAUUAAA
rnacentral:rRNA from 1 species